AUAAGCGGAGGAAAAGAAAUUAACUAAGAUUCCUUCAGUAACGGCGAGUGAAGCAGGACGAGCCCAGCACUGAAUCCGAGCGACCGAAAGGCGCGAGGAGUUGUAGUGUACGGGGUCCCCAUUCCUUCGUCCAACGUUCGCGUGCCAAAGUCGCAUGGAAGGUGCUGUCGCUCCACAGCGGGUGUCAGACCCUUGUGGCUGCGCGUUCGGACGCAGGUCUGGCGGGACCUCGAGAGUCGGGUUGUUUGAGAUUGCAACCCAAAGGUCGGUGGUAAGCGCCAUCGAAGGCUAAAUACGUCCACGAGACCGAAAGCGCACAAGUACCGUAAGGGAACGUUGAAAAGGACUUGUGAUUGAUAGUUCAAAGUACGUGAACCUGCCUAGAGCGAAACGAGUGGCACCGCAAUAGCGGCUAGCGGCGUUCAGCCCGUGUCGUCUUUCGGGUGCAUUCGCCGCCACGCCGUGCGUCACGAUCGCUUUCGCGCGAGUUGUGGUCGAGGCGAUCGGGCGGUCGGUAAUUCUUCCGACCGGCAGUCGCUUCGACUCGCGAGCUUGCGAGGGAGCGGUGAAGGAUCCCCGCGCGCAUAUUGGGCCUCGUGUCCGCACGCGGCCGUGUCGUCCUCGCGACGAGACGACUGCUGCGGGCGGCUCGAGCGCGGGCGUCGAUCUGUGGCGUUCGAGUCGGACAG
rnacentral:rRNA from 1 species